GCCUAUACUUUUUUUAGAAAANUA
rnacentral:tRNA from 1 species